AACGAACGCUGGCGGCAGGCUUAACACAUGCAAGUCGAACGCCCCGCAAGGGGAGUGGCAGACGGGUGAGUAACGCGUGGGAAUCUACCCAUCUCUGCGGAAUAGCCCCGGGAAACUGGAAUUAAUACCGCAUACGCCCUACGGGGGAAAGAUUUAUCGGGGAUGGAUGAGCCCGCGUUGGAUUAGCUAGUUGGUGGGGUAAAGGCCUACCAAGGCGACGAUCCAUAGCUGGUCUGAGAGGAUGAUCAGCCACAUUGGGACUGAGACACGGCCCAAACUCCUACGUGAUGCAGCAGUGGGGAAUAUUGGACAAUGGGCGCAAGCCUGAUCCAGCCAUGCCGCGUGAGUGAUGAAGGCCUUAGGGUUGUAAAGCUCUUUCACCGGUGAAGAUAAUGACGGUAACCGGAGAAGAAGCCCCGGCUAACUUCGUGCCAGCCGCCGCAGUAA
rnacentral:rRNA from 1 species